UACGGAGGGUGCGAGCGUUAAUCGGAAUUACUGGGCGUAAAGGGUGCGUAGGUUGUUGAUUAAGUUAUCUGUAAAAUCCCUGGGCUUAACCUGGGCAAGUCGGAUGAUACUGAUUGACUCGAGUAUGGGAGAGGGUAGUGGAAUUUCCGGUGUAGCGGUGAAAUGCGUAGAGAUCGGAAGGAACACCGGUGGCGAAGGCGGCUACCUGGCCUGGUACUGACACUGAAGCACGAAAGCGUGGGGAGCAAACAGG
rnacentral:rRNA from 1 species